GCCCACCGACACGGUUUUUCCCGGAAAUCUGGCUUUCCUAUAGAAUCUGCGAUUCCAUAGGAAUUAUGAAAUUAAUAAAACCUGACGUGGCAAGAGGGGCGUGGGUUCGCUAGCUUUGGGACCUGCCUUGGGUUUGGGAAAGCCAGGGCAUGUUUCUGUUUUGCCCGAGUGCUCUUUUCAGACUGAAAUCUGAACCUUCACCGGAUGGGGUUAUUGUUAAUUAACUCUUUCCUUCAGCCUGUCCAUACUCAGGGCCGCACGACCUCCCUUAGAAGAGUCUUGAGGGUUCUGAUCAGUCUUGUUACUGCCCCCCAUAUCUCAGAUUUCUUAUCUGUAAUACAAGAGCAAUGCCUAAUGUAAUCACUGGGUAGGGGAAAUGGGCAGCAGGCACUGUAGCAGCUACCAG
rnacentral:lncRNA from 1 species